UUAACGCGCUGCCUAUAAACAACUGUAAACGGGAUAAUCCAGAGGAGAACGCAGUUAACCUCCUCAAAUACACCCACAACGGAUCAGAUGGAACUGUGGAGAGUUUGACUGCAAUCCAAACAGUGGGGUGCUACACCCUGUUGGGGUACAGGUGAGUGGUGAGAUGGAAAAUACAAAAGAAUUUAUUUAUAAGACUGCAUCAGACCUGCCAACCUUCCUUAGAGUAUGGUGGAAAGUACUUAGACAUAACACCACCAAGCUGCCACUGUUGGUCCUUUACCCUUUCUGUUCCAGGGGUACCGUAUCAUGUCUAACCCAAAUGUCCUAACAAGCUGGGAUAUCUGACGAAGCUUUAGUAAUCUUUACUCUUUAGUCAGCUCACCAGAUGCCAAAGAGAAGUAUUAUUUUGAAGUAUUAUUCAAUUUAUUCCACAUGUUCCUUCAAUGUAUUCCACUUUUCAUAUAUACAUGAUAAAUACUGUUCUUCCUGGACCUGAUUUGUUGAAUUUGGCAAAAUCCUGGAAAUACCUUUUAAUUUUUUUAAUUAAAAAUUGUUUAAUAUUGAGGACAUGAUCAGUAAAUCUGUA